rnacentral:lncRNA from 1 species
UCGAGUGAGCACUACGUUAAAAGAUGAAAACCGUUCUGUGCAUUCUCUUGGUUCUAACCAUCUUCAUCGCUACUUCUGAAGCUGGCCUUUGUAAUUGGAUAUGCAGAAAAGUAUGCAGCACUGCGAAUCACUGUGAGACACUUUGCACCCUGCUGUGCACAGAUCCCGUUUCAGUGAAAACUUAUCGCUUCCCGGGUGCUUAAAGUAGGAGUGAUGAAGUCAAUUCAUUCGUAAUUGUCUGUCGUAAAAAAAUAUUUAAACACAAAAUUUACCGAAACUUUGAAUAUGUAUUGUACAGUGAUCAACAGUAAUUCAACACAACUUUGUAAUUAAUAAAGGAGUUUCUUUUGAGAAGACGUAA